CUGCGUUAGCGGUUGAAGUGGCAUCCUUUUUUGACGUCAGUUCGAGUGAAUUUGUGAAGCAUGAGCAAAUUUGUAUCGAGAACAAGGCAAAAAAGAUAUAACGGAAAACGCGACCCUUG
rnacentral:sRNA from 1 species